rnacentral:tRNA from 1 species
GAGGGUAUAGCUCAGUGGUAGAGUGCAUGCUUAGGAUGUACGAGGUCCUGGGUCAAUCCCCAGUACCUCCA